AAGUGAGCGUUGAUGAAGAAGAGUAAAUAUUGCGGAUAUUUCAGAGAGCUGAUGGUUGGUGCGAAUCAGUAUGGAUGUAAUAUUGAAUGGGCUUCGGAGCUUCCAAACCGAAACGUAAGGAGUAGGCUUUGGCGAAAAGAUCUCAUCGUUACAAGAGACACGUAUUAUAAUCGAUACGGUAAAGUGCGUUACUUUUGUAACGAAUUAAGGUGGCACCACGGGAGUUCCCGUCCUUUUU
rnacentral:ncRNA from 1 species